UCCGCAAUGAGAUUGUGCUAUAAUGGGGCGACGACGCUGCUCGCCGCCACCGCGUGUCCGGCGGCCUUUGUGGAUUUGGAUUCGAUUAGAGAAGAGCCCCC
ensembl:snoRNA T08H4.9 ncRNA